GAAGCCCCAGGCCUGUCCUCUCUGGCUGGGUCUCCGUUUCCCCUGGGGGCUGUGUUGCAGCUGAGCCCAGGAAACGUGUGACGUUGCCGUUGCCGUAGAGAUGGUAACCCGCCCAGGUGCCUCACAGCGGCCCUUCCCCCUUCUUCCUGCCUGUCCUCCCUGCUGACUUCUGAGGCCACGGGGAGGGGACUGGGCAAGGGCAGGAGGCACAUUUGGGGGGCGUCCCGUCCAGCUCCUGACGGAGGCGGCACAGGAGAGCGGUGUGCGAGAAUCUGGCCCUCCGUGUCCUGGCUCUGUGGCCUUCGUUCUUCAGGUGCCUAACAAACAGCGGAAGACUUUCCAGCCCCUUCGCUUUCGGUUUCGUGUGCUCCCUACAACAAGGUUCUGGAAGGUUCCCGAGCGGUGCAGAUGCAGUGCAGGCCGCCCCGAGUGCCGUCCACUGGCGCCUCCUGCUCCUGUGUCCCCCCCGCCCCGCGUGGACGGGAAACCGCUCUCUGCGGGAGAGAAAUGGAAGCGCCGCGGGAGCAGAGCCAGUAGAGGCGCUCGGGGAGGUCACCCGGGAUUCGUCACACUUGGCGCGUGGACCGCCGGAGCGACAACAUUUGAAAACCACUCCGGUCUCACCGACAGAAAGCCAAACUCACCACGAGGCCCUCCCGAGCCCGUGGCCGGACCACGCAAGGUCAUUCCCACGUGGGCGAGGGUGGCCGUGUGACCUUGGGGACCCCAGGUCUGAGUACGACAAGCCGGCUCACGCCCUGCGCCCUCCCCUCUCUGCCCGAGGCCUCCGGCGGACCCUCUGAGGACAGCCUGUGGGUGAGGUCUCAGAGGCCCGGCUGCGUGUGCUGGGCGGACGGCUGGCUCGGCCGACGGGAGGGCUUUCUGCCGGCCUGUCCCUGGCAUCCUGCCAUCCCCUGGCGACCAUAAGUUCACCAAGUCCCUUGGUGGGGACAAGUCCCUUCAGGGGGACAGUUUGGGAUUCCGAGGUACCCCCAAGCACAGGUGAUGUGGGAAGCAAAGGCAGAAGAAAAAUGUGAAUUUCCUCACUGUCUACACCCCACUGACAGUCCUUGAGACAGACAGAGUGACCCUCCUCCAGGGCCCCAGCUGCCUCGAUGACGACGCUUUGCUCAGGGCAAGAGGCAGCCGUAGCUUCACAUUAGCCCCACGUCCGGGGUCCUGUAUGUCUGCUUUACCACCCACACAUUCCUCUGGAAACUUCCUUUAUCUCUGCCGCCCAGAUACAUGCUAGCAAUCCUUUCCAAGCUUAUGGUCCCCGGAUGUGCACCUGAAGGGUCUCAUGACCGAGGUUUUACUGAACAGUAAUAAGUGAUCUUAUCCUAGCGGCAGCUAGCCCCUGGUUUCCAAAUUCCUUAGAGACUUCCGCUGUCUCUAACCCCCUCCCAACCUGAGGGUCCCUAAUCAGUUGGUCGGCACAGCCCAGGGCAGUGCUGCCUGCCCCUGGAUCCUGUGUCCGUGCUUUUGUUAUUAUUUUUUAAUGUUUAUUUAUUUUUGAGAGAGAGACAGAGCACAAGUGGGUUAGGGGCAGGGAGAGAGGGAGACACAGAAUCCGAAGCAGGCUCUGGGCUCCGAGCCGUCGGCACAGGGCCCGACGCGGGGCUCGAACCCACGAACCGGGAGAUCGUGACCCGAGCCGAAGUCGGGCGCUUCACCGACGGAGCCCCCCAGGCGCCCCCAACUGUUUGUGUUUUAAGGGAAGACGUAGCAUCGGACCUUGUGACCUCAGCACCUGCCCUGCAAGGCUGGGUGCCGUCCACAGCGUCUGACACGUCUCUGUCCUCCUUGGAGCCCCAGGUGGGUUACUGGCUUCACCGGCAUCUGUGAACACGGCCCCCUCGGAGGAACCUUCUCUUGCUUUGCGGAGGACAGUCCCGUGAGGCGCGUCCUCCUUCACCUUGACCUACACUGACAUGAAGCGAUCUGAGGCGA